GACGAACGCUGGCGGCGUGCUUAACACAUGCAAGUCGAACGGAAAGGCCCUGCUUUUGUGGGGUGCUCGAGUGGCGAACGGGUGAGUAACACGUGAGUAACCUGCCCUUGACUUUGGGAUAACUUCAGGAAACUGGGGCUAAUACCGGAUAGGAGCUCCUGCUGCAUGGUGGGGGUUGGAAAGUUUCGGCGGUUGGGGAUGGACUCGCGGCUUAUCAGCUUGUUGGUGGGGUAGUGGCUUACCAAGGCUUUGACGGGUAGCCGGCCUGAGAGGGUGACCGGGCAGAUGGGGAGAGAGAUACGGACGAGGCGCCUGCGGGAGGCAGGAGGGGGGAAGGUUGGAGACGGGGCGGAAGGUUGAAGCACGAAGGCGGCGUGGGGGAUGGCGGACUGGGGGUUGUAAACCGAGCUCGCCUGUGACGAGGCGUGAGUGACGGUAAGGGAUAAAGAAGCAACGGCUAACUACGU
rnacentral:rRNA from 1 species